GCCUGGGUGGCUCAGUCGGUUAAGUGUCUGACUUUGGCUCAGGUCAUGAACUUGCAGUUUGUGAGUUCAAGCCCCGCAUCAGGCU
rnacentral:tRNA from 1 species